rnacentral:tRNA from 1 species
GCCUAGUUGGCUCAGUUGGUGGAGCAUGUGACUCUUGAUCGCAAGGUCAUGAGUUUGAGCCCCAUGUUGGAUG